ensembl:lncRNA
GGAAUUGGAAUGCUAAGCAAUGCAUUAUUGGUGACACGGUGAGCAAAUAGGUUAUCAAUUUCUAAUGCACUCUCAGCAGCGCUGUACAAAAGCUGUGCAAAUUUGCUUUCUGUGUCGGCCAAAGGCAUCGUUGUACCAUGUGGGUGCAAUGAUUGGAGAGAACAGUUUGUAGUAGUUCACUAAACGAAGUUUAAGCCACUAUAUCUAAAUUAGGCGUUUGCCUUUGACAUCUUAUUAUUUCAUAAUUGUAACUACGAGGCUUUUCAGAGUGGGUAAUUGCUUUUUUUCCCCAAAGCUGCAUUAGUCUUCAAGGGCAAGUGAUGGUGAAAUAGAAGCCUGAGUGCCUGAAGUUGUAAAAUAAAGAGAAUCAAGCAUGAGCUAAGAGUAUAAUUCACAUAGAAACUCCCCUUCAGCUGCCGGGUCCCUCAUCUCAGAGCUGGUGGAAAAUGCUGCAGAGGAAUGGGUAGAACCCUGAAGAAAACUCAGGACAGUUUCAUGCAGUGACCAGCCUGCAGAGAAGGCAAUACCACUGCAUUCCCCAGGGAACUGAGAAGUGCAGGAAUCUUUCUAAGCUAAAUAGAAUGCAUGAAAAUCACCCUUGCCCUCACAGUUGGAGAUCUCAGCAAGUUGUUGAGCAUAUGCACUUCAUCCUUGGGGUGGAACUCAUCCAUGAAUGUGUCAGGAAAGCUGCCAGAAGCAUCAUCUGUCUCAAGUUCUCAAUGCACCAUUCUGAUCCAUUGGCUCAGCCUUCUGUUAUUGAUGGUGAGAUUGGGACUGGGCUGGGUCUCAAUAACUUUGUGUCAAAGAGUGUUCUCUUUUACAGGAAGACUUGUUAUGUCGCUCACAGCACCAGAGGUUUGGACCUGCAGGCUGAGGAGGUUUGUUCUGCUGCUGUAUAUAUGCACGACCUGAAUGGGAUGCAAAGGUACAAGUUAUUUCCUUCACUGCUGCUCCAGUUUCCCUGUUUGAAACAUCAGCUCAUUCUCCUGAAGGGAAGGCCGCAGCAUUUUCUUUUUUUUUUUUCUUGAACCAUCAACACAUCCUUGCACCCACAAUGUCACCUCGUUGAAGUGAGCAGUUAUGAGUGCCUGAGUACACGCGCAUUGAAUCAAAACCUCCUGGAAAAGAACAGUGCCAGGGUGAUGUGUCAGUGUGGGAUCUGUGGUGUGGGUAUGCUGGUGCUGGGCCCUAGCAGCACUCUGAUACUGCAUCCUGUGGGAUGGAGAGGAGAGCUGCUAGAGUUGCACCGAAGAAGCACUACCGAUGCUGAGGAGAACCAUUUUCAAAGCAGGCCAAGAUGGUGUUGCUGAAAACUGGAAGACUCUUAUUUUCUAACAGGUGUUGGGGAUCUGGGGGCAUUCAGCAUCAGCUGUGCAUCCAGGAGAUUGCUGACUUCUUCCCAAGGAGCUGAAAUCUCAUUCUUCUCUGUUUUAACGAAGCUUGCUGAUGCCCUUUUCUCUCAUUUGGUAAUCGGCUGAACUUCCUGGGAAAGGAACAGGAAAUGAGUGGAAGGAUCAGAGGCAGCAGAAAGGUGUGAGCUGGGCGACUUGCUGCUGAAAUAGGUGAAGGAGAAGGGUGAACCAGCCCUUCUGCAUUUCCCCUGCAGAAAGCAUUAAAGUGCAUACCUAAAAGAGGUUUCUAAAAGUUCAAGAGGUGAGGAGAAGCACUGGAAUGGAAAUCUCAUAGUGAUGGACCCUCACUGUGACAUUUUGAUGCUCUCUGGAGAGAAAUAUGGGCAUUUUGCUUCUCCCACCUUUGAGCUGAAGUAGUACACCAGCUGAAGUCCUUCACUCUUCUGUAUUUGAAAGGGUUUCAUUUUUGAUAAAGGUUCAGUGUUACAAAGAGAUACCAAAUCUUCAUGUGCCCUGUGCUUCAGCAAAGUACCGAUAACAGCAAUAAACCCCCUAACGUGAGAUGUUCUGGGGUUAUCUCUGAGGAAGGCUCCUCUUCAUUCGGCUGCCAAUUGCAAAUGAACCUAGUUAUAAAAUUUCUCUUUAUUGCCACCUUUCCAUAUCCCUGAGGUUAAUUCUGAAAUAUGCAUGAAAUGUAAUUAGUGCAGAUCCAUUUCUGCCAGCACGUUUUACACAAGUGGCUCCCGGUGGCAGAUCUGGAUGUAUUCAUAAUAAAAUGAUUCAGUUAAAUGUAAUACCACUUGGUAUGCAGCAUGAGUGUUGUUUGUCUUCACAGCACUUUAAUGAUGCACUGCAGUCUUUGGUAUCGAG